GGAGGGCUGUAGCUCAGGGCUAGAGCACUUGUCUUGCAUGCAAAGGAUCUCAAAUUCAAUCCCUGGCAUCUCCA